GUAGUUAGCCGGGGCUUCCUCCUUGGCUACCGGCACUUUCUUCGUCACCAAGGACAGAGGUUUACAACCCGAAGGCCUUCAUCCCUCACGCGGCGUUGCUGGGUCAGGCUUGCGCCCAUUGCCCAAUAUUCCCCACUGCUGCCUCCCGUAGGAGUCUGGACCGUGUCUCAGUUCCAGUGUGGCCGAUCAGCCUCUCAGCUCGGCUACCCAUCGCAGGCUUGGUGGGCUGUUAUCUCACCAACUACCUAAUGGGACGCGAACCCCUCCUUCAGCGGAUUGCUCCUUUGACCUCAUCCCGAUGCCGGGUCGUGGUCUUAUGCGGUAUUAGCACUUGUUUCCAGGUGUUAUCCCCCUCUGAAGGUCAGGUUGUUCACGCGUUACUCACCCGUUCGCCACUAAAAUUUAUCUUCCAUCCGAAAACUUCCGAUAAAUCUCCGUUCGACUUGCAUGUGUUAGGCACGCCGCCAGCGUUCGUCCUGAGCCAGAAUCAAACUCUAGA
rnacentral:rRNA from 1 species